rnacentral:rRNA from 1 species
GAUGAACGCUGGCGGCGUGCGUAACACAUGCAAGUUGAACGACGGUGCCAUGAAGUGGUAACACGGAGUGGUAUACGGAGUAGCGGACGGGUGAGUAAAGCAUGAGAAUCUGUCCUGUCGAGGGGGAUAACGUUCGGAAACGGACCCUAAUACCCCAUAGUCCGAGAGGUUAAAGGCAGCGAUGCGCGGCAGGAGGAGCUCGUGUCCUAUCAGCUAGUUGGUGAGGUAACGGCUCACCAAGGCUUCGGCGGGUAGCCGGCCUGAGAGGGUGACCGGCCACACUGGAACUGAGAAACGGUCCAGACUCCUACGGGAGGCAGCAGUGGGGAAUAUUGGGCAAUGGGAGGAAUCCUGACCCAGCGACGCCGCGUGAACGAAGACGGCCUUCGGGUUGUAAAGU